AUUAUGUUUUUGCUGUUGAAUAGUCCAUAUUUUUGUAUGGAGAGGGUGUUUGGAGGAGAGAACUUACAUGUAUUGAACACCUAAUGUGUGCCGCUAUAGUAAAGCUGCUAUGAAUGUUCUUGUUCAAGUCUUCUUGUGGUCACGUGUGUUCAUUUCCUCUGGGAUGCUGGCCUUGGAGUGGAAUUGCUGAGUCAUAGGCUGGGUGCAUAUUUGCUUGGUUAUGUAGAGUCCAAGGGGGAAAGAUCCCCUUGGCUCUUUGAAGUUUUGCUGAAAAAUCAACUUGCAAAAGCAGAUUAGAAAAAAGGCAUGCAAAUUUAUUUAAUGUGUAUACACAGGAAACUUCACAAUGAAGAUCCAAAGGAACAGGGGAAUUGUCCAUUUUUAUGCUUAGGUUCAAUAAAAUAUAGAUAGCCAUGUAGAAAUACAAUAUGACUUGACAAAAAGGAUAUGAUCGAAUUAUAAUAGACUGAGUGGGGACCCCUAGCAAGGCCCGUCUAGAUUCACCUUGGCCUCCCUGAGAAUCGUUCCUUCCUUCUGGGUGUGGGGCAGGAUCUUCUCUAGAAUGGGAGUCUUAUGACCUACUGUCAAACAAGAUGAGAAGAGGCUAGACGAGGUCCAGACAGCUCCCCAUCACACCCCGGCGUUAG
rnacentral:lncRNA from 10 species